UGCAAUGUCAUUUCUUCUGUAAUUGAUAGAAAUGUGAAUUCAAAAUGAGUACAAAGGCAGAAGGGAGCUUGACUGCAAGACUCACCUAUCAAGUAGGGAUGAAAGUCGGCUUUAAU
rnacentral:rRNA from 1 species